GGGAUGUGGCUCAGCGGCAGAACACUUGCCUGGCAUGCAUGAGGCCCUGGGUUUGAUCCCCAGCCCCA
rnacentral:tRNA from 1 species